rnacentral:lncRNA from 1 species
GCAGUGCACUGGUGGCCUGGACCAGGGAAGAUGCUGAGAAUGGGAUUUUGGAAGGAAACUCUUAGGUUGUUACAGAUAGGCCUUGAGGUGAGUGUGGGGUGUCCAGACUAAGGACCAAUAGCUGAGUAGAUGAGGUGGGUGCAGAAAAAGAGCAGCAUUGUCCAAACACCAGUGGACAUGGGGAGAGUGCAUACCCAGGAGGACGGCCCAUGCUCUCAGAUACGAAAGGGUGGGCAGGUGUGACGGGACAGGGUUUGGGAGACAUAAGGGGAAGUGUGUGGCAGGACAGAGACUGGCGUGUCAGGUCCAGUGCCCGAUGCUUAGAACACAUUCAUGUGCCCCUUGCCUGCUGUUGCAGGACCCAGUGACCUUUGAGGACAAGGUCGUGUGCCUUUCUUUCGGAAGAAGUGGGUCUCCUUAGUGAGGCCCAGUGGGGCUUCUGCUGUGAUAUGGUGCUGUCUUCACCAGGUCAGGCUGCCAGUUUCCCCGUGAGAGGUACUGCUGGCCCUAGUUCUGUCCAAUGUUCUGCUACCUCUCCUCCCAGACUACAGUAUAAACAACCCCCAACACCUUUUGCCUUGGGACCUUGACAACUGUGGUCCAAGGUCAAAAAUACCACAACCGGAGUAGCCGGUUAUUUUAUUGUUAUAUUAUAUAUAUAUAUUUCUUGGUUAUUUUUCCAGUCAGGGUCUGUGACUUUUCGGUCCCUCUAUCACACCUCCUCCAGUGGAAGUUUCCUGCCAGCUGCCCCUUGUCAGCGCCUUUACUGGCUUUAUGGGCACUAACAUGGUCAUUGAUUCAGGGGCCACUGAGCUUUUCUAGUGAGGCCUUCCCGGGGUGUUCAUUUUGUGAGGUUCAGUUCUCCCAGAUGCAUAAGUAAUCCUCAUCCACCUUGGUCUGUCAUGGAAUGAAUCACCCCUGACCUGGGGCUGGCUGACCUCUCACAAACGCCUUGAUCUCCCUUAAGAAUUACUGUCUCCACCCACCCCAGUGCGGUCACCCAACUUGAACAUCGAAAGGGGACCCAGCUGGUGGACAGGGUGGCUCGAAUCAGUUCAUGACCAGAGAGACCCAUGGAAGACCAGUCCUGGUGAGUGCAAGACAGGUGUGGAAGGGCCUGUGGCAGUGGGCUGAUCUCUUACCUGGUACCUGACCGGUGUCUUCUGUUGCCCUGGCAUCAAUGUGAGUACCCAUGCCUCUUUUCUAUCUUUCUGACACCCCAUCCUAAUUUACCCUGACUUCCUGUCCCCUGGCUAAACCCUCUUGGUCCUUUGCCUCUCAGCCUCUCUCUUUCUCCCCUCUUAUGGCCAGGUCCUCCAUCAUUGGCCUCCCCUUCACAUAUCCUUAAAUAGUUCUUGAAAACCUGUUCUUCCAUGAGUCUGACUUGUCCCUCUGAGGAAGGUGGGCACAGUGUCAGGGGUCCCAGGCCUGGACUCGCCUCACUGCACAGCACCUGUCUGUCACCAGACACUGAGGCCCUGCCAGCUCCACAUUCUGCAGAAUCCACAGAGAACUGACACUGAAAGAGACACCUGAUCAAUGCACAGCAAAUGGAGAGGUGUUCAAGGAGAGGUGUUCCCUUUUCUACCACCAAAACUUAAAAAUGGGGAAAAAAAUCCCAAGUGCAUUUUGAAGGCCUUCACCUUUGUCUCCAUCCUGAGAAAGCAGGAGUACGUUCACACCUUUGAAUGUUACAUGAGAAAGCCUCCAGCCAGACCUCUAUUUCCAUUGAGCACCAAAAUAUGUGCCCCAUAGAAAGCCCUUAUGAGGGCAGGGAGUGUGGCCCAAAAUUUUGAGCAAAAUUUUGCACUUCCCCCUGUACCAAAUCAUUCACACUGAUAAUCAGGACUCACAAGUGUGGAGAACAGGCAUCUCCAUUCAGAGCUCCACUCUUGUUAGCACCAGAAAAUUCACACCAGGCAACAGUUGUGCAAAUGCAGUAACUACGUGAAAACUUCCAGGAAAAUAUGAAACCUAUUUCAUGCAGUCCCCAUCAGAGAAAGGCAUGAGUACAGCUAGUGUUGGAAAGCCUCCUCUCAGAGUUAAUCCUGUUUUGCAGCAGCAAGUUACCACGUUGUGAGUGAGGUAAGUAGGAGGGCAAAAAGCUGCAGCUCCUGCCUGUUCCGCGUAGAACGCUUCACACUGGAGAAGGAUCCUGUGUGUACAACUGACCCGGGAGAGGUGUCAGCCACACUUCCUUCUUCCCAAUGCCAGAAACCUCACUCUGGAGAGAAGUCUUCUGAGGGCAGGGAAUACAGUAAAGUCUUCAGCUCUCCACCCCCCUUUUUUAACGUUUUAUUUAAAAAAUCAGCCUCUUUUUUUUAACCUUAUCAAUAUAAGAGAAUUAACACUCAAGAAAGAGCCUACAUGAGUAGCCUUCAGGCAGAAGCUGGACCUUGUAUAGAAGGACCGCCACCAGAGGAGACACUCCAGGACUGCCCUGCGCAUGGGGAAGCCUGAAGGGGCAGUGUUGUACUUUGUGACUUGUUGGGGGACUUUGGGAGAGUUGUCGCACCACUGGCUCUUAGGGAAGAAGCCGUGCUGUGUUCGAUGGUCACCUCACAAUUGCUCAGCAUAAAGCAGCCUCUGUUCCCUGUCUGCAGUGCCCUGGAGGGUGAUGGCCCUGCACCCAUUGGCAUGACAUCACGCUGCUGUCCCAUGACUGAGUAGGGCAUGGACUUCACUCCUGCUCUGAGCGAGGGGCCUGAUGGGAUGGCUUCUGGGGGCCUUCUGGGUAAGGUUCCCAUUAUUCGUGGACACUGUGAAGUCUGCAUUUGAUAUCAGUGAUGCCUUCAUAGAGCUGCUUCAAGUACUCGUAACGUGAUGGUUUUGUGCAUUCCUGUCAUUCAGCCCUGGUACUGUUUGACAGUGACUACAUCACUAAUUUACCUUUGAUAUUGCAGUCCUGUUUAGUGGGUGGAGUGAAUUGAGAACAUUGAAUUGAGAGGUGCUCCCAAAUUAGCCAUUGGGCUGGAAAAAGGCACAGCAGCAAGGCAUGGAGCAUGUGUCCAGCUGUGACUCAAUUUGCAUUUCUUCCCCAUGUCCCUGUGAAAUGAAAGGAUGGAAGCCUCUGUUCUGAAGCUUCUGACCUGGAGUUCUCCUGGGGAAGACAGUGUUUGGUCUGGAAGAAGCAAGAUGAUGGUCUCUGUUCCAGGGAAUACCUCCCUCCAACAAUACACCCAGUAUAAGUAUACAAUUUAAUGAUUUUUAAUUAAUGUAAAGAGUUCUGCAGCCAUUAUCUUACCCCAUUCCCAUUGCCCCAAAAAGCUCCUUAUAUCAUGUAUCAGUAUUUUAUUCCAUUUUAUUGCUGAAUGAUAUUCUCUUGUGCAGAUAUACCAAAAUGUGUCCAUCACCAAUUGAUGGACUUUUGAAUUUUUUUCAGUUCUUGGCAAUUAUAAAUAAUGCUUCUAGGAAUAUUUGCUUACAAAUCUUUGUGUAGACAUAUGUUUUCGUUUCUGUUGGGUAAAUGCCUAGGAGUGGAAUUGCUGAGUCGUAUGAUACUUUUAUGUUUAACUCUUUAGAAACUCCAAAGCCAUUUUCCAAAGUGACUGUGCCAUUAACUGUACAGUACAGUGGCAUUAAAUAAAUUCACACAGUUGUGCAACUGUCACUCCUACACAUCUUCAGAAAUUUUUCAUUAUCCUAAACUGAAACUCUCUACCCAUUAAGCAGUCAUCUUACUGGUGUUUUAAUCUACAUUUUUUUUUGUGAGUAAUGAUGUUGGGCAUCUUUUCAUGUACUUAUUAACCAUCUCUUUAUCUUUUGUGAUGAUAAUUGGGUUGUCUUCUUAUCAUUGAAUUGUAAAGUUCUUAAUAGAUUUUAUAUUCAGAAUCCGUAUAUAUAUACACAAGCACUUUCUCUC